UACGUAGGGGGCAAGCGUUAUCCGGAUUUACUGGGUGUAAAGGGAGCGUAGACGGAAUGGCAAGUCUGAUGUGAAAGGCCGGGGCUCAACCCCGGGACUGCAUUGGAAACUGUCAAUCUGGAGUGCAGGAGGGGUAAGCGGAAUUCCUAGUGUAGCGGUGAAAUGCGUAGAUAUUAGGAGGAACACCGGUGGCGAAGGCGGCUUACUGGACUGUAACUGACGUUGAGGCUCGAAAGCGUGGGGAG
rnacentral:rRNA from 1 species